UGCGGAGGGAUCAUUAAGAUGCGCCCAGCCUCUGCGCACAGCGGCCCACCGGCUGCCGCGUGCACGCCCUGCAUCCUCGAUAUUACAGCACCUCGCGUUCUCCUUCGGCGGGUCAGCCCGCCGUCGGAAUCAAGAUACACCCAAUUUGCAAGCAGCAUGCGCAUGCCUGUGGACAGUACAAUAUCUCUGGUGUGGGGUGUAAGACCGGGUUACCUCCCUCGCCGCGCUCGCGGCGAGUGUGGUGCCGGCCUCCUAGAACACUUUUUGGAACUCCUCCGCACAUGUGAAUGUUGCCAGUGAUUUCUAUACCCGUUCAGAAACAAACAAUCGUUACAACUUUCAACAAUGGAUCUCUUGGCUCUGGCAUCGAUGAAGAACGCAGCGAAAUGCGAUAAGUAGUGUGAAUUGCAGAAUUCAGUGAAUCAUCGAAUCUUUGAACGCACAUUGCGCCCCUCGGUAUUCCGUGGGGCAUGCCUGUUCGAGCGUCAUCUACACCCUCAAGCGCUGCUUGGUGUUGGGUGCCUGUCCCGCCUCCGCGCGCGGACUCACCCCAAAUGCAUUGGCGGCGGCCCGUGCCCCUCCCGCGCAGCACAUUGCGCUUCUCGAGGCGGCCAGCGGCCCGCGUCCACGAAGCCGACAACCCGUCUUUGACCUCGGAUCAGGUAGGGAUACCCGCUGAACUUAAGCAUAUCA
rnacentral:rRNA from 1 species